CAGGCGUUAUAAUUAUUAAAUAAGAAUAUGGAACUGGCAAGAUAUUAACGUCGACCAAAAAUAUAUAUUAUAACAUUAGCAGAAAAUUAUAAUGAAAAGAGGAGUAUUUUUAUAUAGAAUACUAAAAUCAGGUUUCCAUUUGGUCUGGGCGAUUGUAACCAUGUUUAUGGCUGCAACUAGACUUGAUGGUACGAAGUAUUGCCAUAGCAGCUGCACGGCAACAAUGAGAGUAACAAUCAGUAAUAUUAGCAGCAAAAGGAGAUAGCAAUGACAAUUUUGCCAAGGCAUACCUGCGAAAUACAAUGUAUAGUGGUCUGUACAUCUUAUUUUAUGUGAGAUUAAAAAUUAUAUAAAAUAAAAUUACAUAUACUACCAGAUAAAAUCCUUUAGAAUGAAUAUGGGUGGGUGGGUGUGGAAAAGGUAUCGAAGCGCUAAACUUGCUGCAGCCAGGCAAAGCAUACUGACACAAUGGCAGAAUGAAUACCCAGACCGAAGCGCUGAUCACAAGGCAUCAAACAACCCCCUUUGAUAUGACGUCACAGACUCCCCUCAGCGGUAUACAUAAUGUAUUUAACCACAUCAAGAGCUGAUGUAAUAUAAAUAAUACAUUGUCAAGUUAACUAGUCUGCAACCCGUAAAGACUGAUUUGCAUACAGCACAGUAAGCACACACAAGACAAGAUAAAUCCAGACUAUUUCAUAUCAGUGAAAAUUGAUUUAGUUGCAACAUUUACAACGAAAUGGAUACCAGGUUAUUAAUUUAAGCAAAUUCCUUCAAAUUUA